rnacentral:lncRNA from 1 species
CAUCAGGGAGGUGAUGCCAUGAUAUUCAAGUGAACUGGAAUUUAGUGAGGGAGGGCUGUGCAGUCACCAGCCUCACUUUCUCCUCCAGAGCCAUCUGGGUCCAAUGGCAAGAUACAGAUCAGGAUGACUGAAGAUGGCCCUGGAUGCAGUGGGAGACCUUGCAAGGGAAUCAAGUCAACAAUUGACUGUACCACAAAAUGGGCUGAUCCGGUCCAUUCCAUCUGUUCUUUCUGGUGGAGGGAUUCAUAAGCAGGAGAAUGACCAAGAGCCUAGAGGAAGAAGAAAUAAACUCCACAUCACAUAAUGAGUACCCAAGGAACCAAGAAUCGACAUCAAUGAAGUAACCACCAUGGUGAACUGUCACAGUCAAUUAGGGCUCUGAGCCAAUAGUAAUAAAGUAUUUAAGUGAAUGUAUUAGACCUAAAGA